AAUAUUUGGAAAAAAACCUUUGAAGACCGAAGUGGAGAAAAGUUCCAUGCCAAAGGGAUCGAGUAUGGGUCAGAUGGUCCUAAGAAGCAAGUAAAAGCUUCCACGAAAGGUGCUGGAUCCAUUGUUGUUGCAGUUAAAUAUGUACUGAAAUGAGACCAGUCUUGCUUCAAAAGGGAGUUGGGUUACUAUUCCUGAACCCAAAUUCAAAGAGUACCCCUCCAGUGGUGGGAAUGCGACAUGUUUCUUGCAUGUUCAUCAUUGAAGCCGGCGGUCAUGAAAAGCGGUGGCAAUGUAAGCAAGCCUGGAGGAUUUUCUGGGAACCCCAGGAAGAGUUCUUUCCAUUGAAAUGGCUUGUCUGGAGAUAUGGAUAUGGUGCAUGUUGAGCACCUUGUCUUGGGCAGCAUCCAGUGUACUCUUGGUGGCCCUGGAAAAUUUGGCUCCAUAACAAUUAGCAGAUCUUGGAUCACUCUGUACCCACUAUCUGCAAUAUACCUCCAAGGUAUUCAGCCUCUCAUC
rnacentral:ncRNA from 1 species